CACGUAGGGGGCUAGCGUUGUCCGGAAUCAUUGGGCGUAAAGCGCGUGUAGGCGGUCCGGUAAGUCCGCUGUGAAAGCCAGGGGCUCAACCCUUGGAUGCCGGUGGAUACUGUCGGGCUUGAGUACGGAAGAGGCGAGUGGAAUUCCUGGUGUAGCGGUGAAAUGCGCAGAUAUCAGGAGGAACACCAAUUGCGAAGGCAGCUCGCUGGGACGUUACUGACGCUGAGACGCGAAAGCGUGGGGAGCAAACAGG
rnacentral:rRNA from 1 species